CAAGAGAGGUUUCUACACUCCCUCUUCUAUCCAGUGCCAGUCCUCAAAGGUCAGACAGAGAUCUUCGAAGCUCUCUAGAGUUCUGAUUUGGCUUUUUUCUUUUUUAACUUGCAGUAGCAGUGUGUUCAAUGGCGAUGAGCAAGACUCAGCUGGUUUCCCUUGGGCUUGUUGCCAUAUUUGUGAUGAUGCUGGCCAUGGGAGUGGACGUGGGAGGAAUCGCAAAGGUUGCUGCCCAGCGCUGCCAGAGAGGGUGGUACUAGUAUGACAAUGGCUGUCACCGCUGCCCGAAGAGUUGGUAUUGGUAUGGCGGAAGUUGCCACCGAUGCCAGAGCGGCUGGAGCUGGCGCAAUGGCCGCUGCUGGAAAAACUGAGAUCUCCGGAAUCAUGGAUAAUGUAACUCGUAAGGUUUUCAUGUUGCACCAG
rnacentral:lncRNA from 1 species